rnacentral:tRNA from 1 species
AACAACGUAGUUUAAUAAAAAUAUUUGUUUUGCAUAUAAAAGAAGGCUUUAGCUCGCUGUUA